UAUGUAGCCAAAGUUUGGGUCC
rnacentral:miRNA from 1 species